AUUAUUAUUAAAAAUAUUUAUUAACUUAAGAAGAAUAGUAUUCCACGGAGUUUGCGUUAUGUGCUGUUCGAAAACACGAUUAGAGAAUAGAAAUUGGACUAGAAUAUUAUUAAUAGUAUUUAGGUUUUUUUACUAUCGAAUUUUUAGCCAUUCGAUGAAAAAUUAUAGGGUUGGAGUGAUAGUAGUCCCCUAAGGUUUAGUAAUGGUUCCUCUAGGAUUGAGUGGGUGAUUGAUUAAAUAGUAUAAUCUAACGGAUGGAAUUGAUUAAAGUGUAAAUUUAACAGUUAAAAAAUUGAUAGCAAAAGAAUUCAAAUACUAUUAAUAGUAUUCUAGCUCAACUCUAAAAAAUAGUUCAUUUAUUUCUGUAAGCAGAAUCAUGCUACACCUAUAGCAAUGAGUAGAUUAAGCUAUUAUUUUCCCUGUCUCUCCAACAAAUAGAGAACCACGUCUAGAUGCUUCUCUUUUUUAGAAACAAAAAAAAUAUAUGGCUGUGUACUUUCAUCCCAACCCCCUUUUUAGCCCAAUAUAGGAAUGUCAACGGGUCGGAUUUGGGUCGAAUUUUUAAAAAUCUGAACCCGAAUCCGAAAACUAAAUUAAAAUCCGUACCGGGACCCGAACCCAGCCGGUUUUAAAAAUCCAUACCCAUAUUCGUACCUGACCAAAAACCCGAAACCCGAACCCGGAUCCGGACCCGACGGCUUCGGAUAAUAUUAUAUAAAUAAAUUAUUAAAUAUUUAUGGGAUAGAAAUUAUUAGAUAUUUAUAUAUUAUAUAAAUAAAUAAAAAUAAAGUAUGUAUAUAUAUAAUUUAUUCGGGUUUGGGUCGGGUUCGGGUUCGGGUCGGGUAAAUAUAAAAUCUAUACCCGUAUUCAUAUCCGUCGGGUUUUUAUUUUCUAUACCCAUAACCGAAUCCAUAUCCAUUUAGCUCGGAUAAACCAGCCCCGUUUGGGUUUAGAUUCGAAUAAUAUUUCGGAUAUCCAUACCCAUUGACAUCCCUAGCCCAAUAGCAGAUAUAGUGUUAAAUGCCAAAAAACCCCUCAGAGUGUUUGGUACCUCAUACGCAGACAAUUUCAAAGGUGAUCUNAUCGAGGAAUAAGAAGCAGGGCUAUUCUUUCCUUUUAACGGAUUAUUAUUAAAAAUAUUUAUUAACUUAAGAAGAAUAGUAUUCCACGGAGUUUGCGUUAUGUGCUGUUCGAAAACACGAUUAGAGAAUAGAAAUUGGACUAGAAUACUAUUAAUAGUAUUUAGACUUUUUUACUAUCGAAUUUUUAGCUAUUCGAUGAAAAAUUAUAGGGUUUGGAUGAUAGUAGUUUCCUAAGAUUUAGUAAUGUUCCUCUAGAAUUGAGUGGGUGGUUGAUUGAAUAGUAUAAUCUAACGGAUGGAAUUGACUAAAGUAUAAAUUUAACAAUUAAAAAAUUGAUAGCAAAAAAAUCUAAAUACUAUUAAUAGUAUUCUAACUCAACUCGAAAAAAUAGUUCAUUUAUUUCUGUAAGCAGA
rnacentral:lncRNA from 1 species